UACGGGGGGAGCAAGCGUUGUUCGGAUUUACUGGGCGUAAAGGGCGCGUAGGCGGACUUGUAAGUCGGGAGUGAAAACUCGGGGCUCAACCCCGAGCCUGCUUCCGAAACUGCGAGUCUUGAGGACCGGAGAGGAAAGUGGAAUUCCUAGUGUAGCGGUGGAAUGCGUAGAUAUUAGGAAGAACACCAGUGGCGAAGGCGACUUUCUGGACGGUUCCUGACGCUGAGGCGCGAAAGCUAGGGGAGCAAACAGG
rnacentral:rRNA from 1 species